ensembl:snRNA U2 U2 spliceosomal RNA
AUCGCUUCUCGGCCUUUUGACUAAGAUCAUGUGUAGUAUCUGUUCUUAUCAGUUUAAAGUCUCAUACGUCCUCUGAGGACAAUAUGUUAAAUGGAUUUUUGGAAUUAAGAGAUGGAAUAGGAGCUUGCUCCGUCCACUCCACACAUUGACUUGGUAUUGUAGUACUUCCAGGAAAGGUGCAUCCGCC